AUGUGGUUCCACUGCCCGCCGCUCACCCAGUCAGUGUAGAAGCCGCCGUACAGCCGGUGCAGGCAGUUGUCGGCGUCGAUGAGGAGGCGCAGCGGGGUCUGCGGGGGCCGCUGCCGCCCCCCCCCCCACCAGGCUGCCCCGCGCCAGCUUCUGCAGCUCGACGGGCACCACGGCGCUGGGGCAGUGCUUCUCGAUGUAGUCCUGGAAGCCCUGCACUCCCAUGAAGCUUGCAGACUCUUGGUGUGGAUUGUGUAAAAACAACAACACUUCUGCUGGGACACUUGUCCAGGUUGACUCACCUCCAUCCUUAGUAUGUGAGUUCAGAAAUGCUCACAGAUCUGCCAGUGUGCUCCUACAGACCCCACAGCCUAUACAGAACAGCUGAGCAGGUGUCAGAAUCCCCCAGACCGUACGCAUUUGGGAACCUGGGCUAGAGAGGGUAAGAAAGAUAUUCUGUUGCUGCAGCCCCCCAGUCCUGCUAGCUUUUUUGUCUGUUUAAUCUGUUACACAUGAUUAACUCCUCUGUGUUUCUGCCUGGCAGAAUCCAUGACUAAAAAUAUCCUGUGAGUAUACGGUGCGUGCUGCAACACUGGCAGAAAGUAAAUAAGACCAUAGUCCUCAUAAUCACUGUUUUUGCUAAGAACUACUGCUCCCAGCAGACUGGCUAUUUUAGGCUGUAAAUGGAAAGCUGAAAAUGAGAUUUUCUUUCCCUGCCAGUUCUUCUCCUGGGAAUUCUACUGCUUUCUGCUCUGCACCUACUCUGGGUGUUGAUGGCAGCAUGCUGCUAACACUAGUCUCAUAGGGGAUGGAUCACUGGAGCUCGUUCUGAGGGAUACAUAGGAACAUAGGAAAUAAUUUCCACUGGUAUCAUCAUAUCAUUUGGAUGAAGUGUUUGAUCAAAAGUGGACAGGUAUAUUUUGAUUUAUUUCAUGAGUCAGGUGGCAGUUCACUUAUAUUCAGUCAGAAAGGUAUUCUUUAGCUCUCUGCACUUCCUGUUCUAAUACUGGUAAAUGUAUUUGCCUCUCUCUUAGUUUUGCAGACCACCUUUUAACCUCUUAUUUGGUGAUCUAAACACAAACACUCUUGAUUUGUAGUCCCAUUGAUACCAGCGAUGCCUGGCCUUGUCUCCAUGAUAUAGCACCUAGAUCAAGCAUAUCAUAUAGAUCUAAUGAAAGAUCUUUGCACGGUGUGCAAAUCUGAGGAGCACUAAUUAUCAUUCUUAGACUUCAUGCAUUAUGCAUCUUCUGCUGGAAAAAGCUUUGUGUUUUCAGGAAUUCAAAAUAUUAGGCUUUGCUACAGCAACAUGCAAAUCUAAGAACUUGAGAACAAAUCAUAAUCUUUAGCAUUAGCUGCAUCUUUCUGAUGGCUCAAACACUGUUUAGAAGGAUUUUCUAAGAAGGAUUUUCCAGGAAACACCCUAGCUAUUUCGUGGCAUGGACACUGCUGUUGUGUCUGGUCUGUAUAUCCCCAUUGGAAUACCACUCAAGAGCAUCCUUUGAGUUGCUGAGUAGCUGCUGAUUUCUUUUAAUCACCUGUAGUACUACUGUGGAGUGGUCUGUGUAUAUAAAAAAAAUUAACUCUUAACUUCAGAAAAACAUCAGUCAAACUAUUUUCUGCACUGAGGAGAAGGAGUGGGUUUUUCUGGGAGCAAACCUACAGAAUGACCUCAGUCAGCAAGGGUCAUCCCUGGCACGAAGCGGAUGAAGGAAUUUUAGAUGACAUGAGAAAAAAAAAAAAAAAAAAAACAAACAAAAAACAAAACAAAAAAACACAUCAGGAAACAGAAGGUUUUAAAGGAUAAAUAGAAAAACUGCUUUGCAUUGUGCCAAGACAUCACAUGUGAUAAUCAGACAUCAGUAAUUGUCAUAAUUAUGAUCUGUUCUCAUGGUAUUCCCUUUUGCUUUGUCAUUUACAGUUAUCAUGUGCUUAUCUUCGAGCAGUCUGAUACUGUUCACUGCCUGGUUGGUUAGUCCUUAAAAAUAUUAUUAGCUUUUUAGCAUUUGGAAGGUUGGAAAACUAUUAUCUAAGGAAGUGUUUGGAGCACAUCACAAAUGGCAAGUGACUGAACAACUCACUCUUGAUCUACUGUUUUUGAAAAGGCCCUGUCCCUCUGCAUUUCCUUACACAACACAAGCUGCAGCUGCCUUUUCUAACGCUGCUGCUUCUCUGCUUUUUGUGGCAGGCCCUUAAACAUCUGGUUCAGGCAUUGCCUUCACCCUCAUCCUUUUCUAGUCCUUUCUCUGAAACAGUGCAACACUUACCUCCUGCUUGCUGCCCACCUUCUUGCUCUAUUGUCAGCUUCCUCAUCUAGAAGGAGGGUCUUAGUUACAGUCAUGUCACUCGUUCUUCCUUUUGUGCAGCACUUGACACAGGAGAGGACACCACCUUUUUCCUCCCAGGGAUGCUCAAGGCACCUUCCACAUUCCAGGUCCUUGCCUUCCAUGCUGCAGACUCACCUCUUUGCCUUCUUCCUUUGCAGCCUCAGUUGGAGGAAAGAGAAGUGGGGAACAAUGUCCCUGUUGUUGUCAGUUUUGUCAGUUGCUAUUGAAGUAGAGAGUCACAAAAGAAAACAGGAAAUAGUUCAUUUGCUGGGAAACAAACAAAAAAAAUACCAAAUGCUUGUUCUUACUGUUCAAAAUUAUAACAGAAAAAGGGCCGAAUUGGAGACAAGCAGCAAAAUCAGAAUCUACCAAAUGAAUGAGGAGUGUCAUUUUCAUAGAAAUAUCAAACAUCAAAGAACAUUUCUGGUGUUAAAAUGUAAACAACAGGUUGAGGCUUUGGAAAAAUCAAGCAGUGAAACUGUUACAGUCAAUAUGGUAGGAAUAAAAUAAUGUAAUAUUUCAUUAAGGGAUUUCCAAGAGAGGUGGAAGUGUGCAGUUUGUUACAAAUGCACACAAUGCAGUUGCCUUUCAAUUUACUGUUUUCUCAGCCAAUAUAAAAAGUCUCUUAAAUAGAAAGAUUUAGGUUUUGUUUUGGUUGUUUUUUUUUUUUUCCCAAGCUAGGAGACACCAAUUUGCGACAUUGAGAUGUAAUUAAAUAGCUUGACAUAUUGCUUUAGGCUCCUUCAGUUCUUUCAAAGAUUUCAUAUCACUCAUCUUUUGCCUGGACUGUAAACUGUAAUUUUACUUACAUUAUAUGAGUAAUGAAUUCAUGUCUAUGAAAUAGGAGAUACUCAGCUGAGUACACUUUGAAGGUACGUCUUAAACUGACCUUCAGACUGAGCACCCAGAAACUGUGUCAUCCAGAACCUAUACCCACACAAGCUUUCCAUCCCACACAAAUAGUAGCCAGCAGCAUUCUGAUGUUCAAUAAAGUCUGCAAUUCUAAUAAUUACUGAAACUUUUCAAAGUUGUGCUUAAAUAGAGGCAAUUAUAUAUCCAUACCCGUAUUUGCAGUGUUCUUAUGGUGUCUUAUGGCUUGUGUUGGAAGGGUGCCUUUAAUGUUCAUUCAUUUCCAACCCCUCUGCUGUGGGCUGGGACAUCUCCCACUAGAUCAGAUUUCCUGAUGACCCAUCCAGUCUGGUCUUGAAUGCCUUCAGUGAUGGGGCAUCCACAACUUCUCUGGGCAAUCUGUGCCAGUGCCUCACCAUCUGAGGAAAGAAUUUCUUCCUAACAUCUAACACAAAUCUCCUGUCAUUUAGUUUAAAGCAAUUGCCCUUUGUUCUACCACUAUCUGCUUUGGUAAAAAGUUGGUCUCCAUCUAGUUUAUAGCCCUCUUUAAGUACUGGAAGGCCACAACAAGGUCUUCCUGGAGCCUCCUCCAAGCAAAACAAGCCCAACUCCCUCAACCUUUCUUCAUAGUAGAAGUGCUCCAGUCCUGUGAGCUUCUUAGCAGCACUCCUCUGGACUUGCUUACCCUACAGCUCCACAUCUGUCUUGUGCUGGGCGCCCCAGACCUGGACACAGCCAGAUGGGGAAGCACUGGUCAGCACUACAAAUUCCCAAGGAUGCCCAAAGCAUUGGUAAUUGUCUGCCUUCAGGGAUAUCUGUCUAUUACUCAGGUUUUCCCCAGUUGCAGACUUUCGCUCCUCACAUUACUGUGAACAGUCCUCUCGUCUUCAGUCUGCACUUAUUCAUGACUAAUUCAUACCCGCAUGAUCACAGGCUAACAUUAACCUUUAACUCCUGCAGCUCUUCCUGCUUGAUAUUCACCCCUUAGGGUAUUUAUAAAUAGUUACAGUCUCAUGCUUAAUUUGCCGUGCUAAAAAAGAUGUACUGAUGUUUAUCAGCAACAGAAUCCUUCUGCAGAAUCAUAAGUGCCUUCCUUCAUCUUGAAGAUUAGCUCCAAACAGGCCCCUUGCUUUGCAAAAACAGCAUUCCCAUUCAGAUGCAGAAAUUGAUCCCAUUUUGAUCUCCUCAGUGUCGCCAUGGCGGCGUGAAUCAACAUGGCGCCCGGCCCCUCACACCUGGGUGAGGCCUGGUGGCACCGCGCUGCUCCCGCCAAGCAUUCCACCUCCACUGAGGAGAUGAGGUGGCAGCCUCUGAAGCACACAGAACUGGUCCCAGCUGAUCCUGAAGUGGUUGAGAGCAGCCCUGAGGCACGGUGCAUGCCUGCUGACAGCACCGGGCUGCUGAGGUUGACCCAGCCUCAGCUGAGAGUCAGAUGCACACUGUGUGAACAGGCCCUUGGCAGAGGGGAAUUAUUUUCUUUCCCAAUUGGUGCCUCCUUCUUUGUUAACAAAUACUUGGAGGGAAAAAAAAAAGAAAAAGAAAAAAAAAAGUGUUAUCCUGCCCCAUAGAAGGUGUCUAUCAAAGAGCUGCAGCUUUGGGAGAACUUCCUUUGGUGAAGACUACACUGUGUCACCAGGUGCAUCUUCCCCACAGGCCACACAUUGCUCGUCACCUUGUCCUUCCCUUCCCUCAGUUCCCCCUCUCCCAGCACCCACCCCUCACUGACACAUGGCAUUGCUGCCAUGAGAGGCUCCCUCACAGAGCACAGGCUGCUCCACAAGGCAGCACGGUACUGUCCUUCUCCAUCCACACCACCUUGGUGGGCACUUUUCCCAGGCAAAACCUUCCCUUGUGCUGAGCUGCACCAUCUGGAGGAAACAUUUCUACAAAAUACCUACUGAUCCAUUACAGAGCGAUGCUCUUCUUCCAUUUUUGCUGCUUUUGUGUUCUGCAAUACAAUCCCAUGGGUUGGACUCAAGAAGUGCCUGGACCUGGUGCUUCACAGGGUAGCAAACAGCAAGGUGAAGAUGUUCCUGAAAAG